AUAACAGAGAGCAAACAGUACGGAGACAGGAUUCAGGCUACCCACAUCAAAUACUUUAUCUCUACCGAAUACAGUGACGCAGUAUGGAGAAGUACUAGAAAACAAAGCAAAUUACUUUGCGGGAAAAUAUUCAGUGAAUGCUCUAAACAAGACCUCUUCAAAUUCAUAGGAGAUAACAGAUGGACAAAGUUGAAGACAGAUUACGUUAUAGAGAACACACCGUCUCGUCCGGGGAUCAAACAUUCCUCCCACUCCCAGUUAGCAUGUCCUUCCUCCUCUUCCUGUCAGUGCUAAUAACGUAUUGAGAAAACUGUUCUGUUAUAGGUAUUAUUGGAGGACUUCGCCGCUUCGACGCGCCGCGCAAACUAGCAUUCUUGCUUCGCAUCGUCGAUCGUUGCUCUGCUUCGCAGACUCCAGAGCAACGAU